GGAAGUCGUAACAAGGUUUCCGUAGGUGAACCUGCGGAAGGAUCAUUAAUGAGUUGUCAUGGGGUUCGAUGCUGGCAGCCAGUUUUUGGAUGCAUGUGCUUGCCCUAACAAUCAUCUUCUUCCAAACACCUGUGCACAUUUUUGAGGGAGUCUUGAGUUGGUUGCCGCUCUUGGGUGAUUUUCUCACAUUCCCUUAAAUCAUUAUACGCUAUUAACAAUGUUGAACGUGCUCUGUGCCGCAAGGCCAUUAAUAUAAUACAACUUUUAACAACGGAUCUCUUGGCUCUC
rnacentral:misc_RNA from 1 species